rnacentral:rRNA from 1 species
GAAGGGGGCUAGCGUUGCUCGGAAUCACUGGGCGUAAAGGGCGCGUAGGCGGAUCUUUAAGUCGGGGGUGAAAGCCCAGGGCUCAACCCUGGAAUUGCCUUCGAUACUGAAGAUCUCGAGACCGGAAGAGGUAAGUGGAACUGCGAGUGUAGAGGUGAAAUUCGUAGAUAUUCGCAAGAACACCAGUGGCGAAGGCGGCUUACUGGUCCGGUUCUGACGCUGAGGCGCGAAAGCGUGGGGAGCAAACAGGAUUAGAUACCCUGGUAGUCCACGCUGUAAACGAUGGAUGCUAGCCGUUGGCGAGCUUGCUCGUCAGUGGCGCAGUUAACGCUUUAAGCAUCCCGCCUGGGGAGUACGGUCGCAAGAUUAAA